AUCCAGUUGACGAUUCCCAAUCAGGAUGAAACGUACGUCCUAGAU
rnacentral:hammerhead_ribozyme from 1 species